rnacentral:rRNA from 1 species
GAUGAACGCUGGCGGCGUGCUUAACACAUGCCAGUCGAGCGAAGCACUUUAUUUGAUUUCCUUCGGGACUGAUUAUUUUGUGACUGAGUGGCGGACGGGUGAGUAACGCGUGGGUAACCUGCCUUGUACAGGGGGAUAACAGUUGGAAACGGCUGCUAAUACCGCAUAAGCGCACAGCAUCGCAUGAUGCAGUGUGAAAAACUCCGGUGGUAUAAGAUGGACCCGCGUUGGAUUAGCUAGUUGGUGAGGUAACGGCCCACCAAGGCGACGAUCCAUAGCCGACCUGAGAGGGUGACCGGCCACAUUGGGACUGAGACACGGCCCAAACUCCUACGGGAGGCAGCAGUGGGGAAUAUUGCACAAUGGGCGAAAGCCUGAUGCAGCGACGCCGCGUGAGCGAAGAAGUAUUUCGGUAUGUAAAGCUCUAUCAGCAGGGAAGAUAAUGACGGUACCUGACUAAGAAGCACCGGCUAAAUACGUG